AAGAUCUGGCUGCUGUGUGGAGAAAGAGUGAAGAUACGGAAGUUGGAGGUUCUCGUAGCAAUGCAGAUCCCCUUUUAUUUUUCAGAAUUGUGGCUUGCAUUGUAAGAGGAGCCUGUGAAUUCAGAGGCAAGUCUGCUGAGGACCGAAUGUUCCUGUCCAUAAAAACAGAAGUCUGGCCUGGGCUCCUCUCUUGGGUGAAUUUGCAAUGCCAGAUCCUCUCUAUCAGUUUGGUUUUGUUUCUUGUAUCUCUGGGAAGGCAGGCAGACAGCACGGUCACCUGUGAAUGCAGCUACAAUUGGCUUAGCUGCCUCACUGAUAAAUGUGCCCCCAGUAAGCUACAAAGGGAUUACCAGCGUUCUCAGCAGCUAAAGGAACUGGUGAAGAUUUCCCCAGCAAAAAGUAGAAGCUCAGUGUUUCAUAGAUGAAGACUGGGGAGAUUGCAAAAGACCCAUCCAGCAGUGGUUCUCAGACCUCAGUGUGCAUCAGAAUCACCUGGAAGGCUUGUGAAAACACGUAUUGCUGGGCCACACCCCCAGAAUUUCUGGAUCAGUAAAGCUGGGAUUCUUACUUUGAGUAGCCAACUUGCAGAAUACAAUAGAAUUUUGGGAGGAGCCCCUCGAUGCCUGGCUUUACUGUUGGAGAGACAGUACAGUAUACACCAGAUGACUUAUUUGUGAACCAUGGAAACGUUUGGAAAAGAGUCUCACUUUGUCGCCCAGGCUGGAGUACAGUGGUGCGAUCUUGGCUCUCUGCAACCUCUGCCUCCCAGGUUCAAGUAAUUCUCCUGCCUCAGCCUCCCGAGUAGCUGGUACUACAGGCACACAUUUGUAGAGAUGGUGUUUCCCCAUGUCAUCCAGGCUGGUCUGGAACUCCUGGGAUCAAGUAAUCCACCCGCCUCGGCCUCCCAAAGUGCUGGGAUUACAGACGUGAGCCACCACGCCCUGCCAAUAAAAAGAUUAUCUCCAGAUGCUGGAAUGACCAGUAAUUUAUUUUCUUCCUUUUUUUUUGUCUGCACUUUCUACCAUAAUCAUAUGUUAGCUUCUUACUAAGAAGAAAAGUCAAUGUUAUUUCCCUGAAAAAGUAAUGUUGUUUGGUUAUUAAACAAAUUUAAUUUUCUAAACAAGAGUACGACAGGUAAACUGCCUACCUUAAAAGCAAACGAACACAAAUAAAUAAACUAACCAUCUUCCACUUCAGUCUCUGUCCUUUCACCAGAGUUGCUGAUCAGCCCAGAAUGGACUGAUUUGAAUUUGCUUAGUUGUUCAUUCAUUCAUUUAUUUAACAAGUAUUUAUUAAGCACUUGCUCUGUAGAAAGCACUGUGCUGGUAUUGGAAUACUGGCUUAUGUAAGUGUGAUAGUAAUGGGAUUCUGACUUAGGCCUGACUCCUGGGCCGUAAUGUUUGGAUACUAUGUAUACAUCUAACUAUAAAACGAGGGAAAAUGAAAAAAAG
rnacentral:lncRNA from 1 species